GUGUUUCAUUCUAAUUUAACGUUAUACAAGUUCCAUCGCGAUGAGAUAACGUAAUUUCAAUAUUUUUCUAACUUUGUAAGUGGUGCACACGUUUUUCAAACAAAUCCUUGUAAUCCUGCAUGCAGUGAAUAAGGAGGAGGAGGUGGUCGUGGAUAUGGAAUAAGCCUUGGUAGCCGAUGUACGAAACCCAUAGGAGGAGGUAUUCCUAAAGGUGGUCUCAGUGGAUGGAACAAAGGCGGAUGAGGCCGGUAUGGAUACGGAGCCCAUAUUGGUGUAAUCGGCGGAGGAGGUCUAACAAAAUAAGCGACCGGAGCUCCAUUAGGCAGCCCUCGAGAUCAUCUUCUAAUUGUGAUCUUUCCGACUCUUCGUACGACUCUCGAUGCGAUGAAUGCGAAUAUUCGUCGCUUUCCUGUCUGCUGCCUCGACUGUAUCUUCUUCUAUUUGUCGAUCUGGAGGUUUAUGUACGCACUUCGGCCAGAAAAUCGACUGCUGACUUGACCAGAGCGAGAUCUCUCAAGUCUGCGAUCUCUGGACGUAUUUCUACUGCGAUCUCUGAGCCUGUCUCUGAAAAAAGGGCACUACGAAGGCGCUCGAUCUUGGAAUCUUGGAAUAUUUCGGACAUCGUCAACGAUGGAAAGAUAUGUGAUCUCAGAAUAAUUCAAGGAACAGUGAAUUGUAAUAUUAUUAAGUAAGAGAAGGUUUUUAUUCAAACUUUAAAAUUUUUUCAAUAAUUUGAGAAAUCCAACGUAAAAUUACGUAAUUAUAUACUUAGCAAACAAAUUGAAAAUUAAAAAUUACUUAUGGAAAUUAAAAUUGAAUAUGAAAUUCAAUUUUUUAUUAAGUUACAGUAAUUAAUUCGAAUAAUUUGGAUUGAAUUUUUUUUUCAACGUUCUACUUAUUCAAUGGAGAUUAUUAUUUUAUUUAUAUUUUUUUUACGUUAUUUUAUCGUAGGUAGUAUUUAAAAAAGUUACUGUCUUUUUGAGACAUGUGAUGCAAACUUACAUCCCUUAAUAUGUACAUUGUACACAUCUAUGUGAAUUGUGUCGAGCAUCCACUUUGAAAAAAAAAGUAGUACGAUUACGUGACAGAAGGGGAAAGUGUUUUUCUAUAAUUCAGUUCAACUAUUAAAGAUGUUUCCAUGAUGAACUAUUUAACCUCAGCAUUAGUUGAAAGCACAAUGAUAAAAUAUUAAUCGUGUUUAAAUAAUGUUACUUACGUCGAGGAUGAACUGUCACUAUACGAGUCACUUGGAUAUUAGAAUCCAAAACAAGAGGUUCCUUCGGUCCUCCAUAAGUUGGUUUAGUCAAUUUGACAUUUCCUUCGCGUCUGUUAAAAUGUAGAAAAAUUAUUGUAAAAGAAAAUUAACUCUGGUAUCGAACAGAUUACCUAUAUAUUCCCUUACCUUGAUUUACGUCCUUCUUCCUGAGAAUGAGAUCUCUGCCUAGAACGCGAAUUCGUUCUGCGAAAUCGGUCCUCUCUGCGCGGACUUCUAGGUUUUUAAAAAUUAGCAUUUUAGUAAGAUUGAUUUGAUCAAUGCUACUGUAUAAUUGAAAAUUAAUUUGUACAAUGUACAUUACUUACCUUUUCGAUACAGAAGAGCUUGAAACGCGAUUAUUACGAGUGGAAGACGAUGCACUGUGAUGAGUCGGACUUCUGCUUCUCGUUCGGCUUCUGUACACAAACACAUAAUUUGUUUUCAUAUUAGAUGUGUAGAUUUAUUUUGAUAAUGGAUUUUGGAGUUCACUUUAAAAAAAAAGUAAAGACUUUCUAGAUUUUAAAAGUUGCUGAAUGGAAUCUAAAGUGUUGAAACAAAGGUUUCAAAAAACCUCCGAAAUCCAAAUUCUCAAAAAUCUGUGUUGAAAAAACACAUCUAUAGAAAAACUAUAGAUAUGAUAAAAGCAAAACGAAUUCCAUACCUGUUAGGAAAUGUGUAUGAAUCUACACACUCAUAUUCUUCUGUUGAAGAAGAUCUCCUUUCUCGUCCCAUUAUUAAGAAUUACGAGUAAAUAAACACUGAGGUAUUAAAAUAAUAAAAUAUAUGAUUUCUAAAAACGGUGGACAAAGUUCACUGUUGAAUCUAAUAAACAAUAACACUGGACAAUUUGUUCACAAAUGUUACUUUUUAUGGGCAUUUUCCCAUGAAAAAUGUUUCAAAUUAUUGUUCAAGGAUCGAUAAUUUUGAUAAUACAUAAUUAAAAUUGAAUUUAUACCUAAUAUAUAGGUAGGCACAAAAUAAAAUAAUUGAUAUCACUGCAAAAGUGAACCAUUUACAGAGAUGGAUUCUCUGAAGUAUGCGACCAGUGACGUCACUGGUCGGUCAAAAUGACGCUCAAAGCUUCAGUGCAAUUUGAAAUGUAACUUGUAAUUGUAUUUUUCGUUUUAGUUUAGUGUUUAAAGUUCGAUGUGUAUUGUAAUAUGAUGAAUUGUACUGAAUAUACAUUUUUCUGCCA